UUGUAUUUUAUGAAUCAUGUCUAUUAUGGAUCAUAUAUAAAUUCUUUGAAGUAACAUGCAAAUGUUUUAUAUAUUGACAUUGAUGUGCAUCACGGUGAUGGAGUUGAAGAAGCUUUUUAUUUCACAGGCAGUUAUCCAAGAGAGCAACGGGACAUCUUCCUACGUCGAGGUUGACAUGUUCUGACCUUUAGUGAGAUUAUAUUCUCCCAAACUGUCAUCUCAAAUACCAUCAUUAACCAAUUGCUAUGGUUUUAUACAAGAUGUACUGCAAAAAUAAGCAGGAGCUCACCAAACAUCAGAAUUGCGCUUCUCCCUGAAAAUUUCAAAACAGAAGAACCGCAUAAAAGGAACUGAGAAUAAGGACGGAGAUCUAAGGAAGCAAGGCCGACAAAUUGAUAGCCUCAGUUGGAUUGUCAGAAAAGCAAAUGCAAGGUACAGCGAAGAUACAUGCUUAAUUCUUUUUGUUGUGCUUUUAUUAAAGAAGAGCAAUGAUUGUUGCUGCAUACCGUAGGAUGAAGAAAACCUUGAUUCAAUUGAGCAAAGGUAUACGCCAGGGACCUGACACUAAUUUAGUUCCUCUUUUAUUCGGUUAGCAACCACCAACAUCAUCAAGGAAAAAUGUUAUAUUCACUUCCUUUAACUGAAAUGUUGAUCACUCUCAACUGUGUAAUGUGUUUUUCUACAUCUAAAAUUUAUUUCUCUGUUCUUUCCAUAUAUGUUUGAUUAUUUUUUAGGCAUUUGAUUCAUGGGUUUUUGGUUGAUACAUUAUUUACAUGGAUUUGUUUUAGCUAUGUAUAAUUUAGUUAUACUUCUCUCCCUCUAUAAUCUAGUGAUAUGCCAUUACUUGCAUAGUUCCCUGGUCUUUUACUUAUCUGUGAAGUUUAAUUUUUGUUGGGCCUUUAGUUGAUCACCAUAGACAUGAUACAAGAGCUUGGCACCAAAUAUGUCUUUUAUGUCAUUGACAUAAACUACUUCCCUGGUAAGUAUAAUAUUUGACAUAUUUGCUAUUUUGAUUGAAUGAAUACUCUUAUUGUGGCCUUCAGUUUUUUGUUUGUGUGUGCUUGACCUGAGAUUAAUUGGUGCAUUUCCUGAUUUCCAUUGCAACAUUUUCUUCUAACACCCUAAACAAGAUAUACGCUUUGAUCACUGCAACAAAGCAUGAGAUUUAAUUUGGAUAUAGACUACUCCAUUAAGAGGAGAUUUCCCGAUUCUUAAAUUUUUGCAGGGCCAAUGCUGUGGUCAAAGUCACUUCCAUUUGCCACCAAACCUCAAACAAGGGAUACUAGAGAAGGCUACCCCUUCUUGCUACUUGAAGGAUAGGGUGUCACACUCUGAGCUUGAGGAAUUUGCAGACAUAAAGAACUCUCUCGGUUGGUAUUCAUUUUGUUAGGCAAGUGGUGAAGCAAAACGGUGUUGUUUCCUGAGUGGUUCUUAUGUU